UGGGGAUAUAAGAAGUGGGAAUCAGAGCCCUACCCCAAGGGAGCUCAACUGAGUAGGAAAGAAAAUCAAAUACAAUAUAAACAUAGCAAAAGAAGUAACACUGCCCAGAAGAGGGGGCACCUAACUCACUGAGAUGGGGGAAAGAGGCCACAGUAUAGUAUAGGGUGUGAAUCAGGAGCAGGGAGACAAGGCUUCCAAGAGGAUGCGUUGCCUGAGCUGCUGAGUUUUAAAGUAAGCUACUGAGUAGAAGGUCAGCAGUAAGAAAGUAGGAAGUUCUAGAUAGUGAGAUAAGCAAACACAAAAGAAACUCAAGGAAAUUGUGAUUUCAGUAGGGCUAUGUGGAACUAGUUAAGUAGGAGGCUAGUACAAGAGGACAUGUGGGGAGAGAUUAAAACUAUGACUGUUCCAGAGUUUCUGAAGGAUAUUAAUCAGGGGAAUAAUCUGAGAUUUAGGAAUUUCAUUCUGGCAACCACAGAAGUACAGAAGCAGGAACAAGAGUUAGACUAUGACAGAGGUCCAGUGAAAGAUGAGGAAGAUCUAAACCAAACUAAAAUGGCAACAAGACUUGAAUAGAGGUGAGAGCUUCAUCCCAAAUUUUAUCUGCUAACAAAAGCUUCUUCCAACAGGCUCAUUGUAUAUAUAGUCUCAAAAUUAAAACUCCACUCAUUCCCAAGGAGAAUUUAGCUGUCUCAUAUCCCAACACUAGGAAGAAAUAUGGACUGAAUAUAGGGGGCUGGAGAGAGGAAGAGAACAGUUGGAGUAGAAGAAGGAAAUGUCGACAAAAAAGAUGGAGACAGUUCUCUCUGAAGAGGUGACAUUUGAGCUGAAAACCUAGUAACUCCACUCAGGAAGGGAGUUAAGACAAUAGAUUAGCAGAGCAAAGGCCCCCGAGGCAGGAAUGAACCUCACACCUUUGAGAAACAAAUGAAAGCCCAGGUUUUUGCAAGUGUAAUGAAAGAGAGGGAAAGCACUAGGAAGUGAACUUGCAGGGGAGACAGAUACUAGGCAGGCCCAGAAGAAAAAAAAAAAAAAACUUUGAAUUUCAUUAUAAGGACAACAGAAAACUAAGAAAGGAUUUUAAGGAAGAAGCAUAAGCAUGAACCCCCUACUCCGUAAGAGCAGAUUAAAUAAUAGAAGAAUGGAGUCCGCAGCAGGGGUCCAGGAGAGAGCUUAUUGGGGCUUGGAUAGGGAUGAUGCCAGCUUUGAGUGUUGCUGCAGGGGCCAUGGACGCCCAUGGAGCCAGGAGCCCACGCUGGUACAGUCUUUGCUCUUUGUGCAGCACUAGGACCCCUGUCCAGGCCAUGGCCAUGCUCAGGGUCCAGCCUGAGGCCCAAGCCAAGGUGGAUGUAUUUCGUGAAGACCUUUGUACCAAGACAAAGAACCUCCUCAGGAGCUAUUUCCCCAAGAAGAUUUCUGAUUUGGAUGCAUUUUUAAAGGAGCCAGCUCUCAAUGAAGCCAACUUAAGCAAUCUGAAGGCCCCAUUAGACAUCCCAGUGCCUGAUCCAGUUAAGGAGAAAGAGAAGGAAGAGCAGAAAAAACACCAGGAGAAGGAAGACAAAGGGGAAGAUGAAGACAAAAGGUCCUCCCUGUGGCCUAGUGAACUGCAAUGAAAAGAUUGUGGUCCUCCUGCAGUGCUUAAAGCCUGAGAUUAAGGAUGUCAUUGAGCAGCUCAACUUGGUCACCACCUGGUUGCAGCUGCAGAUACCUCGGAUUGAGGAUGGGAACAAUUUUGGAGUGGCUGUCCAGGAGAAGGUGUUUGAACUCAUGACCAGCCUCCACACCAAGCUAGAAGGCUUCCACACUCAAAUCUCUAAGUAUUUCUCUGAGCGAGGUGAUGCAGUGGCCAAAGCAGCCAAGCAGCCCCAUGUGGGUGAUUAUUGGCAGCUGGUACACGAGCUAGAUGAGGCAGAGUACUGGGACAUCCGGCUGAUGGUCAUGGAGAUCCGCAACACUCAUGCUGUGUUAUAUGACAUCAUCCUGAAGAACUUUGAGAAGCUCAAGAAGCCCAGUGGAGAAACAAAGGGAAUGAUCUAUUGAGAGCUCCCUCUAAUUCUGUGAUGGGUACAGUAUAGACCUUCUUAAUUUUUGCCAGGGACUCCAGAUUUUCCCCUAUCUUUCUCCUAUUGAGGUUUUUCCCUCACCUUGCUUCCCAAGCACAAUAAACAUAGUCACACUG